rnacentral:rRNA from 1 species
CGGAGGGUGCAAGCGUUAUCCGGAAUCAUAGGGUUUAAAGGGUCCGCAGGCGGUCUUAUAAGUCAGUGGUGAAAGCCUACAGCUUAACUGUAGAACUGCCAUUGAUACUGUAAGACUUGAAUUCGGUCGAAGUGGGCGGAAUGUGACAUGUAGCGGUGAAAUGCUUAGAUAUGUCACAGAACACCGAUAGCGAAGGCAGCUCACUAGGCCUGGAUUGACGCUCAUGGACGAAAGCGUGGGGAGCAAACAGGAUUAGAUACCCUGGUAGUCCACGCCGUAAACUAUGAUUACUCGUUUCGGCGAUAUACAGUCGGAGACUAAGCGAAAGUGAUAAGUAAUCCACCUGGGGAGUACGAUCGCAAGGUUG